AUGCCCAGCCUUCCUGUUCUGCUAGUGCUGGUCUGGGGCGUGGGGUCCCAUGGCUUCCCUGCAGCGACCGCAGGAACGCGAGAGCAGGACGUGGAGGUGGUCCAGAACUACCUGCAGAAGUACUACAACCUGAGGAUUGGAACCAACAAAUCUGGAAGGCAGAGGAAUGACGCUUUAGUGACUGAGAAGCUGAAGGAAAUGCAGGAAUUCUCUGGGCUGAAGGUGACCGGGAAGAUAGAUGCUGACACCCUGAAUCUGAUGAAGCAGCCCAGAUGUGGGGUGCCCGACGUGGCUCAGUACGCUCUGGCUGAUAGGACCCUCCGAUGGGAGCACACACACCUGACCUACAGGAUUGAAAAUUACACACCAGAUUUGCCAAGAGCAGAUGUGGACAGUGCCAUUGAGCAAGCCUUUCAACUCUGGAGUAAUGUCUCACCCCUGACCUUCACCAAGGUCUUUGAGGAACAAGCAGACAUAAUGAUAUCCUUUGUCUGGAAAGAUCACGGCGACAACUCCCCCUUCGGUGGACCUGGAAACAUUCUUGCUCAUGCCUUCCUACCAGGAAGAGAUAUUGGAGGAGAUAUUCAUUUUGAUGAAGAAAAAACGUGGACCAAUAAUUUCAGAAAUUUCAACUUGUUCCACGUCGCAGCACAUGAAGUGGGCCAUUCCCUUGGACUGUUGCAUGAUAACGACAUUGGUUCCUUGAUGUUCCCCAACUAUAACUACUAUGGGGAUGUCCUGCUGUCUCAGAGGGACAUCGAUGCCAUCCAGGCCCUCUACGGACCUUCCAAAAAUCCCAUCCAGCCAAGAGAACCACAAGUACCACGAGCUGUGAUAGCAAGUUAACAUUUGAUGCUAUCACCAAAGUUCGUGGAGAAUUAUUCUUCUUUAAAAACAGGUUCUUCCUACACACGAGUCCCUCCUACAAAACAGUGGAUCUCAAUGUCAUUGCUGAGCUCUGGCCAUCGCUGUCCAGGGGAGUUGACGCUGCUUACGGCAUUGUUAACAGAGAUGAAGUCUUCUUUUUUAAAGGUAGUAAAUACUGGGCCUUUAAUGGGGAUCAGAUGCUGCGAGGCUACCCCAAGAACAUCUAUCACUCCUUGGGCUUCCCACAGAGGGUGAAGAAAAUCGAUGCUGCUGUUCACGAGGAUGAAACUGGGAAGACGUACUUCUUUGUUGCCAACGAGUAUUGGAGGGAUGAUGAAAAUACACGGUCUAUGGAUACAGGUUUUCCCAAAGAGAUAGCUCAUGGGUUUCCUGGAAUUGGCAAAAAAGCUGAUGCUGUCUUCCAAGAGGGAGGAUUUUUCUAUUUCUUUCAUGGAAAAAGGCAGUUCAAAUUUGAUCCUAAAACGAAGCGAAUUUUGACUCUCCUGAAAACGAACAGCUGGUUCAACUGCAAAAAUAAAUGA